CGGAGGACCGAGAGUCCUGAGCCGCGGGCUCGAGGGCGGUCCCGCUGGUCCCGCAGCGCCCAGUGCUCCCGUGUGGGCCCCACUGAGGGAGGCGCUGGCUCCCGCUGGCCUCCCGUCCGCUCCGCUCACCGCCAGCUGUUGGUGAAGAGGCAGAGGGUCCUCAGUGCCCUCUUCAGGUCCUGGAGAAACGGGGCUGGCAUUCGCAGAGGACCCGGCACUCACUGCUCCCGAGUUUCAGAAGCAGCGAGUCCCAAGGCUGAGCGCAGGUAGAGCAGAGAGCGUGGCCCCAACCUCCCCGCGCUACGCAGCCUUUCAGGUCCUAGCCUUUGCUCCCCGAGUCAUUAGUGUUCCAGGAGCUGACCCUGUGCUGCGCGGUGACCAAGACCGCCCUGGUCCCCACCGUCAGGAACUCACCGUUCAGUGGGGGAGGUGGGCGCUUCCCUAGGUAGGGAUGGUAGAAAAUGAGCAGCAGGGGUGGGUCAUUUUGCGACAGAUAGAGCUCUGGGCGUUCUGGAGGGCGCAGAAGCCUAGAGCAGAGAUGUGGCAGUUCAGUGGGAGCUGGCGCGAGGUCCAGAGCAGAGAGGAACACAGGAUUUUGGGAUUCUGGCAAAUGGUUAUGUAGUGGGAAAGGAGGGCAGGACACAGCGAGAUCUGGAAGCAGCACUUUAUUAGUGGGCAUGGCUCAGAGGGCUAAUUCCCAAAGUCUGGCCCCAAGUGCAGUAGGGCUUAUGGUUUAUACAUAAGCAGGUUUGGGGCAAAUUGAGGCAGUGGAUUGGUGCAAUUCUACUGGAGGAUGCACCUUAGGUUCCUUAUGUGGGUACAAGCUUGUCAAAAGACUAGGGAAUUUCAGCUCAUACUGCUUGGUGACUUCCACUGCAUUAAGCCUGGGCGGGGUGGGGGUUGGUUCUUUUGUCCCAGUUAUUUUGUUUUCUGCUUCUGCAAAUGUGGUCAUCUUGUUAUAGCUACCUGACGGCCACCUCAAGCCUCUCUGGUUAAAUGCCAGUAAGCAGAGCUGCUGUGUACCAAUGUGUGAAACCAGAGCCUUCAGCUCUUAAGGCACUAAAGUUUCCAUUUUGUUCUACUGUAUUACCUUUUUAGGGACCUACCUCUUUCUCAUCCAUUAUGCUUACCUAGGUUGCCACUCUGUCCUCAUUGUCCAGGACAGAGCCUGACUCUUUAGUUAUUGGCGAAAUAAAUGGGGGUAAGGUGACGGCAUGUGACUACAGUUGGAUACCCAAGGAGGAGGCUAGGCCAGGAUGAGAGGUGUAGAACAAGGGCAGGGCUCGACCAGCGUAAGGCUGAGAGGCAGGUCAGCGGACACUGCCUGGAUGGGUCAUGAGGCUGGACUGUAGUGGUGGGGGCAUCAGGGAGAGGCUCAGAGGUUCAGGGUUCCUGGAUGAGGUGAACCUUGAAAUGGGGUCCUGAGAGCAAGAGCAGCUUUGGGGAGAAGCAAGGAUCAGUGUGUGACCCUGUGGGUUACAGGUGUCAUGGAGACAUCCAAGGCUCGGGCCUCUCAGAUCUAAGGACAAGGGACCUUGCUCGCCACUGAUAUAGCAGGUUUGAAGAGAAGCUGAAGAUUCCUUUGAAUGCUUCUCAAAGAUUGAGGAGCAGAAGAGAGCGUCAAAGGUUGAUGUAAUUUGGUGGGCUUCCAGGAAUAAAAAUUGGCAGUGUUGACUCCUGGA
rnacentral:lncRNA from 1 species